UCGAACUAAACCAGGAGAACGAAAUCGACAAACUCCAUGACAGGGAAUGGCGAUUUGAAGUUUGUUUCCGGUUGGUGAUAACUAAGGAUGAAAUUCAGAUUUGAGCUUGCUUAUCAUAUUUUUCCUUUUAUGGCAGAGUCUAUUUGGAAAAAAUAAUGAGAAAACAAAGCAAAAUCAAUCACUACUCUCGUCUCUUACCCUCUCCUCUGCUUUUUUGGUUUGUUCCCCUUUUCUUUGUUACUAUUUUAUUUUGUAUUUUUCUCUGUUCUUGUAACUUUCCCCCAUCCCUACUCGUUGCUGCUCCCCCUCUCUUUUCUAAAGUGUUGUUUCUAUUUGUUUCGUUCUUCUCCCCUAUUCCUCCCCUGUUUUUGCCUCUUUUUUCUUUUGCAGGUUGCGGCUGUCAGGAGUCUUUGUGGAGGGGGGGCGCGUCUGCUAGUUUUCAAAAAGGGGGAGGGUUCUGUGAUGCUCUCUCUUUCUUUGUGUGUUAUGUGUGUAUUUUAU
rnacentral:lncRNA from 1 species